AUUGAACGCUGGCGGCAGGCUUAACACAUGCAAGUCGAGCGGGGUAGAGUAGCUUGCUACUUGACCUAGCGGCGGACGGGUGAGUAAUGCUUAGGAAUCUGCCUAUUAGUGGGGGACAACAUCUCGAAAGGGAUGCUAAUACCGCAUACGUCCUACGGGAGAAAGCAGGGGACCUUCGGGCCUUGCGCUAAUAGAUGAGCCUAAGUCGGAUUAGCUAGUUGGUGGGGUAAAGGCCUACCAAGGCGACGAUCUGUAGCGGGUCUGAGAGGAUGAUCCGCCACACUGGGACUGAGACACGGCCCAGACUCCUACGGGAGGCAGCAGUGGGGAAUAUUGGACAAUGGGGGGAACCCUGAUCCAGCCAUGCCGCGUGUGUGAAGAAGGCCUUUUGGUUGUAAAGCACUUUAAGCGAGGAGGAGGCUACCGAGAUUAAUACUCUUGGAUAGUGGACGUUACUCGCAGAAUAAGCACCGGCUAACUCUGUGCCAGCAGCCGCCGUAAGAC
rnacentral:rRNA from 1 species